rnacentral:rRNA from 1 species
GAACUGAAGAGUUUGAUCAUGGCUCAGAUUGAACGCUGGCGGCAGGCCUAACACAUGCAAGUCGAGCGGAAACGAUGGGAGCUUGCUCCCAGGCGUC